ACAUAAGCCCUUUGCAGUCAUUAUCUCCCAUACAAUUAUAUAUUUUUAAAAGAUGGAUAUUUUUAUUCUCUCCGUCUUACAAAAUUGUUAUUAAUAAUAGUGCAUUUUUUCUGUUUUUCUCUCCAGAUCUACAUUCUACCUUUCUCCUUUCCAUUCCAUAUCUUGGGAAGCUGAUGUCUAUAGAUUACAUCAGUGAACUUCCAUAUCAUCUAACUUUCAGUUAAGUUUGGCCAAAAGGAGUUACUGGAAUGAGAUCAGAUGGUAGGAAGAAAGAGAAGUUGGAUAUUUUUUCCUCACUCCUCCUUGUCAGAUCUCACAGGGUUCUUGUUCUCUCUCUCCCACUGUACUAAAGGUAGUAGCAGUUUCCCUAGGUUGCUAAUCAUAGGAGUUUUAUAUCCCAUGUUGAUUUUCCUCCACCCUCCUAUAACUUCAAAAAUAAUAUCUUCCUGAAACUCCCCUUAGCCAUGUGUCUCCUGUCUCAAUGGAAAGUGGUUAGUGGUGGAGCUAGACUGAUAUUCCAACCUGUGAGCCUAUUCAUAAGAUCAAACUUUCUUUUUCCUUUCUUUUUCCGCUACUGGGUAAUUACAUUUUAUGCCAUUAUGAGAAGAAUUUAAUGCCACGCUUUCUUAGACAGUGUAUUGCAUUCCUUAGGAGCUCAGCAAUGAUUGGGUCAAAUGGUAGUUCUGUUUUAAGUUCUUUGAGAAAUCUCCAGACUACUUUCUACAGUGGCUGAAGUAAUUUACAUUUCCACCAACAAUGGAUAUGUCCUGCUAACUUAUAGAAAUCAUGCUCGUCAGAAUGUGUUGCUCCAAUAGCAGCCAAAUAGUCACACCCCUUCCAUGUAUCUACUAAAACUGUGAAUGUCUGUAGAGCCAUGCAUGGUGUAGGACACAAAACACAAGACACAAAUAGACUUGGCUUUGGAUGGCUCACAUUCUAGUUCUAGAACUAUCAUUUUCAGCUGCAAGUCACAGAGACUCUCAGACUCAGAAUCCAUACGAUGGGGAUAAUGUUGCUAAGUCCUGGCUAACGUUUUUAAAAAAUAAUUUCAACUUUUAUUUUAGAUUCAGAGGAUUAUGUGCAGUGGCUGAAGUAAUUCACAUUCCCACCAAGAGUGUCCUGCCUGACGUAUGA
rnacentral:lncRNA from 13 species